rnacentral:rRNA from 1 species
UACGGGGGGGGCAAGCGUUGUUCGGAAUUACUGGGCGUAAAGGGCUCGUAGGCGGCCAACUAAGUCAGACGUGAAAUCCCUCGGCUUAACCGGGGAACUGCGUCUGAUACUGGAUGGCUUGAGGUUGGGAGAGGGAUGCGGAAUUCCAGGUGUAGCGGUGAAAUGCGUAGAUAUCUGGAGGAACACCGGUGGCGAAGGCGGCAUCCUGGACCAAUUCUGACGCUGAGGAGCGAAAGCGUGGGGAGCAAGCAGG